GACGAACGCUGGCGGCGUGCUUAACACAUGCAAGUCGAACGGAAAGGCCCUGCUUUUGUGGGGUGCUCGAGUGGCGAACGGGUGAGUAACACGUGAGUAACCUGCCCUUGACUUUGGGAUAACUUCAGGAAACUGGGGCUAAUACCGGAUAGGAGCUCCUGCUGCAUGGUGGGGGUUGGAAAGUUUCGGCGGUUGGGGAUGGACUCGCGGCUUAUCAGCUUGUUGGUGGGGUAGUGGCUUACCAAGGCUUUGACGGGUAGCCGGCCUGAGAGGGUGACCGGCCACAUUGGGACGGAGAUACGGCCCAGACUCCUACGGGAGGCAGCAGUGGGGAAUAUUGCACAAUGGGCGGAAGCCUGAUGCAGAAAAGCCGCGUGCGGGAUGACGGCCUUCGGGUUGUAAACCGCUUUCGCCUGUGACGAAGCGUGAGUGACGGUAAUGGGUAAAGAAGCACCGGCUAACUACGUG
rnacentral:rRNA from 1 species